UACGGGGGGGGCAAGCGUUGUUCGGAAUUACUGGGCGUAAAGGGUCUGUAGGUGGCUUGUUAAGUCAGACGUGAAAUCCCUCAGCUUAACUGGGGAACUGCGUCUGAUACUGGUGAGCUUGAGUGCAGGAGAGGAACGCGGAAUUCCAGGUGUAGCGGUGAAAUGCGUAGAUAUUCGGAAGAACACCAGUGGCGAAGGCGACUAACUGGACAUGUAUUGACGCUGAGGUGCGAAAGCGUGGGGAGCAAACAGG
rnacentral:rRNA from 1 species